UUUGACAGAUUGUGCAUAUAGCAGCAAUUGCAUUGAAAUGGAAACAAUCUGAAGUUUGCCUCUGAAAUCGUCUUAGAAUGGCUGAGCCAGUUAAAGCUUGGCUGUAAAAGCUUGUGUCUGCGUGUUGCCAACUUACCAUUAGUGGCUUCUUCCCAUAUGUGAACACUUAUCUUCUGCAAUCUGAAAUUAAUCCUUGUAGAUUGUGUAGCACGUGAAAGAACCUGGUAAGGGCAUCUUCGACGCCGAUGCCCAAACCUCCCCUAUAUGUUCGGUCCAGACAAUUAUAAGCUACGAAGCACCGAUACGGCGAUACCGAUACGGCGACACGGGUACGGCGAUACGGGAUACGGCAAUUUCUAAAAACAUCAAUACGGCGAUACGGCAAGCAUAUAUAUGAAUAAUAAAAAAAUAACAUGUAAUAAAAACUAAAAUAAUAAAAUGUAUGCGAUGAGAUGAAAAUACCGUUUCUUCCAGGUCCUCAACUCCUCAUGCCUUCUUCCAUUUCUAAUCUUGAAUUAAAUGAUCAUCCAGGUCCUCAACUCCUCAUGAUGUAUGCAAAAUAAAAAAUACAACACAUGAUAUUAGACAUGAUAAUAUGAGAUUGACAAGCAUGAAAAAUGAAAAACCAGUAAACAAGUUGGCUUGUAGCAGUAACAUAAACUAAGAGAAAAAUAACAUGAUAAAGAGGAUNNNNN
rnacentral:lncRNA from 1 species